rnacentral:rRNA from 1 species
UACGAAGGGGCUAGCGUUGUUCGGAAUUACUGGGCGUAAAGCGCACGUAGGCGGGUCGUUAAGUCAGGGGUGAAAUCCCGGAGCUCAACUCCGGAACUGCCUUUGAUACUGGCGAUCUAGAGAUCGAGAGAGGUGAGUGGAAUUCCGAGUGUAGAGGUGAAAUUCGUAGAUAUUGGAAGAACACCAGUGGCGAAGGCGGCUCACUGGCUCGAUACUGACGCUGAGGUGCGAAAGCGUGGGGAGCAAACAGG